rnacentral:rRNA from 1 species
UACGUAGGGUGCGAGCGUUAAUCGGAAUUACUGGGCGUAAAGCGUGCGUAGGCGGUUGGCAAAGUCAGCUGUGAAAGCCCCGGGCUUAACCUGGGAAUGGCGGUUGAAGCUAGUCGACUAGAAUCUGGCAGAGGGGGGUGGAAUUCCACGUGUAGCAGUGAAAUGCGUAGAGAUGUGGAGGAACACCGAUGGCGAAGGCAGCCCCCUGGGCUGAGAUUGACGCUCAGGCACGAAAGCGUGGGGAGCAAACAGG